ensembl:lncRNA
UGGAGUGGAGUGGAGUGGCUAACGCUAACUCUGGGCUGAGAGUGGAGUGGAGUGGCUAACGCUAACUCUGUGCUGAGAGUGGAGUGGAGUGGCUAACGCUAACGCUAACUCUGGGCUGAGAGUGGAGUGGAGUGAAGUGGAGUGGAGUGGCUAACGCUAACUCUGGGCUGAGAGUGGAGUGGAGUGGAGUGGCUAACGCUAACGCUAACUCUGGGCUGAGAGUGGAGUGGAGUGGCGUGGCUAACGCUAACUCUGGGCUGAGAGUGGAGUGGAGUGGCGUGGCUAACGCUAACUCUGGGCUGAGAGUGGAGUGGAGUGGAGUGGCUAACGCUAACGCUAACACUAACUCUGGGCUGAGAGUGGAGUGGCUAACGCUAACGCUAAUUCUGGGCUGAGAGUGGAGUGGAGUGGAGUGGCUAACGCUAACUCUGGGCUGAGAGUGGAGUGGAGUGGCUAACGCUAACUCUGUGCUGAGAGUGGAGUGGAGUGGCUAACGCUAACGCUAACUCUGGGCUGAGAGUGGAGUGGAGUGAAGUGGAGUGGAGUGGCUAACGCUAACUCUGGGCUGAGAGUGGAGUGGAGUGGAGUGGAGUGGCUAACGCUAACUCUGGGCUGAGAGUGGAGUGGAGUGGCGUGGCUAACGCUAACUCUGGGCUGAGAGUGGAGUGGAGUGGAGUGGCUAACGCUAACUCUGGGCUGAGAGUGGAGUGGCUAACGCUAACGCUAAUUCUGGGCUGAGAGUGGAGUGGAGUGGAGUGGCUAACGCUAACUCUGGGCUGAGAGUGGAGUGGCUAACGCUAACGCUAACUCUGGGCUGAGAGUGGAGUGGAGUGGAGUGGCUAACGCUAACGCUAACUCUGGGCUGAGAGUGGAGUGGAGUGGCUAACGCUAACGCUAACUCUGGGCUGAGAGUGGAGUGGAGUGGAGUGGAGUGGCUAACGCUAACGCUAACUCUGGGCUGAGAGUGGAGUGGCUAACGCUAACGCUAAUUCUGGGCUGAGAGUGGAGUGGAGUGGAGUGGCUAACGCUAACUCUGGGCUGAGAGUGGAGUGGAGUGGCUAACGCUAACUCUGGGCUGAGAGUGGAGUGGAGUGGAGUGGAGUGGCUAACGCUAACUCUGGGCUGAGAGUGGAGUGGAGUGGCUAACGCUAACUCUGGGCUGAGAGUGGAGUGGAGUGGAGUGGAGUGGCUAACGCUAACUCUGGGCUGAGAGUGGAGUGGAGUGGAGUGGAGUGGCUAACGCUAACUCUGGGCUGAGAGUGGAGUGGAGUGGCUAACGCUAACGCUAACUCUGGGCUGAGAGUGGAGUGGAGUGGAGUGGAGUGGAGUGGAGUGGCUAACGCUAACUCUGGGCUGAGAGUGGAGUGGAGGGGAGUGGCUAACGCUAACUCUGGGCUGAGAGUGGAGUGGAGUGGCUAACGCUAACGCUAACUCUGGGCUGAGAGUGGAGUGGAGUGGAGUGGAGUGGAGUGGAGUGGCUAACGCUAACUCUGGGCUGAGAGUGGAGUGGAGGGGAGUGGCUAACGCUAACUCUGGGCUGAGAGUGGAGUGGAGGGGAGUGGCUAACGCUAACUCUGUGCUGAGAGUGGAUGGCUAACGCUAACGCUAACUCUGUGCUGAGAGUGGAGUGGAGUGGCUAACGCUAACUCUGGGCUGAGAGUGGAGUGGAGUGGCUAACGCUAACGCUAACGCUAACUCUGGGCUGAGAGUGGAGUGGAGUGGCUAACGCUAACGCUAACUCUGGG